GGGACUGAGUACACGGCCCAGACUCCUUACGGGAGCAACAAAUAGGGAAUCUUUCGGCGAAUGGACGAAAGUCGGACCGAGCGACGCCGCGUGAUGAAGAAGGUUUUCGGAUCGUAAAACUCUUGUUGUUAGAGAAGAACAAGGACGUUAGUAACUGAACGUCCCCUGACGGUAUCUAACCAGAAAGCCACGGCUAAACUACGUGCCAAGCAGCCGCGGUAAUACGUAGGUGGCAAGCGUUGUCCGGAUUUAUUGGGCGUAAAGCGAGCGCAGGCGGUUUCUUAAGUCUGAUGUGAAAGCCCCCGGCUCAACCGGGGAGGGUCAUUGGAAACUGGGAGACUUGAGUGCAGAAGAGGAGAGUGGAAUUCCAUGUGUAGCGGUGAAAUGCGUAGAUAUAUGGAGGAACACCAGUGGCGAAGGCGGCUCUCUGGUCUGUAACUGACGCUGAGGCUCGAAAGCGUGGGGAGCAAACAGGAUUAGAUACCCUGGUAGUCCACCCGUAAACGAUCGACGUAAGUGCUUGGAGGGUUUCCGCCCUUCAGUGCUGCAGCAAACGC
rnacentral:rRNA from 1 species